rnacentral:rRNA from 1 species
UACGGAGGAUCCAAGCGUUAUCCGGAAUCAUUGGGUUUAAAGGGUCCGUAGGCGGUUUUGUAAGUCAGUGGUGAAAGCCCAUCGCUCAACGGUGGAACGGCCAUUGAUACUGCAAGACUUGAAUUACUAGGAAGUAACUAGAAUAUGUAGUGUAGCGGUGAAAUGCUUAGAUAUUACAUGGAAUACCAAUUGCGAAGGCAGGUUACUACUAGUGGAUUGACGCCGAUGGACGAAAGCGUGGGGAGCGAACAGG